rnacentral:lncRNA from 1 species
CGCCGACACCAAUAAGCUACAAGGAGGAGCUUUACCGCUGCCUGUACUACUACUACCUGCGCGACUUCCCAGCCUGCGGCGUAGGGCGCAGCAAGGGCCUGACGCUUAGCGAGCAGGCGCUGCGCACCAAGCGGCUGUCUCCUGGAGGGCACGUUCAGGCAGAAGCUCCUCAGUGGCCACCACAAGUCCGCUAGCUCCGGCUACAGCCCUUGCCGCACACUCGCGUCACCUGAGCCUGGGAUACCGAAGGACCUGUUCAAAGUAUUUUCUGUAACUCCAACUGUAACUUGGUUCUAGGAGGAGAGAAUCCAUGUUUGGUCAACAGAACUUUUCGCUGCCACUUAAGUUUACUGCUUCAAUAUCUUUUCCUUACUAAUUGAUUGUUAAGUAGUGUCCAAGUGAGUUAGCCUUUUUAGGGUUUAUUAAUUAAAAGAGCAGCAAGAAUGGCAUUUU